AAAAUGUUUACAAAGAAAGAAAGGAUAUGUAGCAAUACUAGGGAAUUAAAUGGAUCAAAUUAUAUUUUGUGCAUGUAUGAAUAUGUCACGAUGAAGCCCACUUUUAUGUAUAAUUAGGAUACACCAAUAAAAAUAGAUACACUUGGGUGGUGGGAUGAUGGAUGAUAGUUAAUUUCUUAUCUUUAUGAAAACAUUUUGCAUAAAUUAAUUAUAGUUGACAUAUAAAAGCAUUUGGUACGUUAAGCAUCAGAAUUCAAGAGAGUCCUCUGAUUUUUAAGAGAACUGAAAAGAAACAAAGUAGAAUCCAAAUUCUGGAAGAGUGAAGAUUAUGGUAAAGACUCAGACAGGGGGCUGCAAAGUGCCCCCACCUCCCACCCCCAAUGCCUGGUGCCUGCCUGGCCUCAGUGCAGAGCUCAGGUGCUGUGGGAGGGGAAGAGCCCUCCUCUGUUUUUCCUGCUCCCCACCUCCUCAGGAACUCAAGCCCCAGCUAUACUGUAUGAUUUCCAUUCGGGGACGUGUGUUAUGAUUUGGAUGAAAGGUGUCCCCCAAAAGCUCACGUGUGAGAGAAUGCCAUGUUUGAAGGAAAAGUGAUUGGGUUAUGAGAGCCUUAACCCUUGAUGGGAUUAACAAGUGGUGACUGAAGGCCAGUGGGGUGUGGCUGGAGGAGGUGGGCGUUGAGAGCAUGGCUUGGGGGCACAUAUUUUGAGUCUGGCCAGUGGAGUCUUUGCUUCCUGAUUAUUACGUGAACUGCUUCCCUCUACCACACUCUUCCACCCUGAUGUUCAGCCUCACCUCCAACUCUAAGGAAUGGAGCCAUCUGUCUAUAGACCUGUGAAACUGUGAGCCCCCAAAUAAAUUUUUCCUCCUCUACAAUUGUUCUUGUCAGGUCUUUUAAUCACAGCAGCAAAAAAACUGACUAAAACAAUGUGUCAUCCAGGGAGUGAGAACGGGAUUCAGAUGUAGAGGAUCCAACUCUGAUUCUGGUAGGUCACUAGUUGGGUUAUCCUAACGAAGCCAUUAAACCUCUUCCAGACACAGUAAAAUGGAACUGAUGACAGUAACAUGUUUCUUCACGUGGUUGCCAUGAAGACUGAAUGAUGUAAUAUGAGAAAGUGCAGCACACAACACAUUCAUGGCUCAAGAUAGACUACACGUAUGCAUGGUCUUCAAAUGUACGACGGAACAGCUGCAGAAUUGAAGAUGGAAGCCUUCACCUUGACACAGCCUAGGCUCAGUGUAGGUAGAGGCCCUGGACCUGCGGAGAUGCCCAGAGCUGGAGAUGCCUGGCCCACCCCAGCACUUUGAGAAGUGCUGAUUGUUUCUUUUCUCCAUAAACAGAGGUUAAAGAAUAUUUACUUUCUCGUAAAAAACAGGAGCUAGUAAAUAAGGAACAUUUUUGAGAAACAAGCUAUGGAAACAAUGAUGUUAUUUAAAUUUAAAUGUUUGCCUACAGUGUUUUAGAAUAUAA
rnacentral:lncRNA from 1 species